rnacentral:rRNA from 1 species
GCAACGCGAAGAACCUUACCAGGUCUUGACAUCCCGCUGACCGCUAUGGAGACAUAGCUUUCCCUUCGGGGACAGCGGUGACAGGUGGUGCAUGGUUGUCGUCAGCUCGUGUCGUGAGAUGUUGGGUUAAGUCCCGCAACGAGCGCAACCCUUGUUCUUAGUUGCCAUCAUUUAGUUGGGCACUCUAAGGAGACUGCCGGUGACAAACCGGAGGAAGGUGGGGAUGACGUCAAAUCAUCAUGCCCCUUAUGACCUGGGCUACACACGUGCUACAAUGGACGGUACAAACGGUUGCCAACCCGCGAGGGGGAGCUAAUCCGAUAAAACCGUUCUCAGUUCGGAUUGCAGGCUGCAACUCGCCUGCAUGAAGCCGGAAUCGCUAGUAAUCGCGGAUCAGCAUGCCGCGGUGAAUACGUUCCCGGGCCUUGUACACACCGCCCGUCACACCACGAGAGUUUGUAACACCCGAAGUCGGUGAGGUAACCUUUUGGGGCCAGCCGCCGAAGGUGGGAC